rnacentral:rRNA from 1 species
GGCUUCCUACGGGAGGCAGCAGUGGGGAAUUUUGGACAAUGGGGGAAACCCUGAUCCAGCCAUCCCGCGUGUGCGAUGAAGGCCUUCGGGUUGUAAAGCACUUUUGGCAGGAAAGAAACGUCAUGGGUUAAUACCCUGUGAAACUGACGGUACCUGCAGAAUAAGCACCGGCUAACUACGUGCCAGCAGCCGCGGUAAUACGUAGGGUGCAAGCGUUAAUCGGAAUUACUGGGCGUAAAGCGUGCGCAGGCGGUUCGGAAAGAAAGAUGUGAAAUCCCAGAGCUUAACUUUGGAACUGCAUUUUUAACUACCGAGCUAGAGUGUGUCAGAGGGAGGUGGAAUUCCGCGUGUAGCAGUGAAAUGCGUAGAUAUGCGGAGGAACACCGAUGGCGAAGGCAGCCUCCUGGGAUAACACUGACGCUCAUGCACGAAAGCGUGGGGAGCAAACAGGAUUAGAUACCCUGGUAGUCCACGCCCUAAACGAUGUCAACUAGCUGUUGGGGCCUUCGGGCCUUGGUAGCGCAGCUAACGCGUGAAGUUGACCGCCUGGGGAGUACGGUCGCAAGAUUAAAACUC